rnacentral:rRNA from 1 species
UGGGGAAUAUUGCACAAUGGAGGAAACUCUGAUGCAGCGAUGCCGCGUGAGGGAAGAAGGUUUUCGGAUUGUAAACCUCUGUGGAACGGGACGAUAAUGACGGUACCGUUCAAGGAAGCCACGGCUAACUACGUGCCAGCAGCCGCGGUAAUACGUAGGUGGCGAGCGUUGUCCGGAAUUACUGGGUGUAAAGGGAGCGUAGGCGGGAGAGCAAGUCAGAAGUGAAAAUUAUGGGCUUAACCCAUAACCUGCUUUUGAAACUGUUUUUCUUGAGUGAGUCAGAGGCAAGCGGAAUUCCAAGUGUAGCGGUGAGAUGCGUAGAUAUUUGGAGGAACACCGGUGGCGAAGGCGGCUUGCUGGGGCUUUACUGACGCUGAGGCUCGAAAGCGUGGGGAGCAAACAGGAUUAGAUACC